GGCGGCGUACCCAAGUGGAAAGGGAGAGGUCUGCAAAACCUUUAUGCAGCGGUUCAAAUCCGCUCGCCGCCU
rnacentral:tRNA from 1 species